rnacentral:rRNA from 1 species
ACCAGCAGCAUACCACACUGCAUCCCACUGCUGGCUUGCUUCUGAAGCUAAGCAGCGUUGGUCCUGGUUGGUCCCUGGAUGGUCCCUGGAUGGGAGACCAGAUGCUGCUGGAA